rnacentral:rRNA from 1 species
GGGGAUAUUGCACAAUGGGGGAAACCCUGAUGCAGCGACGCCGCGUGAGGGAAGAAGGUUUUCGGAUUGUAAACCUCUGUCUUCGGUGACGAAACGAGACGGUAGCCGAGGAGGAAGCCACGGCUAACUACGUGCCAGCAGCCGCGGUAAUACGUAGGUGGCAAGCGUUGUCCGGAAUUACUGGGUGUAAAGGGAGCGUAGGCGGGAAAGCAAGUUGAAUGUUUAAGGUACGGGCUCAACCUGUACAAGCGUUCAAAACUGUUUUUCUUGAGUGGAGUAGAGGUAAGCGGAAUUCCUAGUGUAGCGGUGAAAUGCGUAAAUAUUAGGAGGAACACCAGUGGCGAAGGCGGCUUACUGGGCUUUAACUGACGCUGAGGCUCGAAAGCGUGGGUAGCAAACAGG